UACGUAGGGUGCAAGCGUUGUCCGGAAUUAUUGGGCGUAAAGAGCUCGUAGGCGGUUUGUUGCGUCGGCUGUGAAAUCCCUCGGCUCAACCAAGGAAGUGCAUCCGAAACUGCUGAGCUUGAGUACUUAAGAGGAUCGCGGAAUUCCCGGUGUAGAGGUGAAAUUCGUAGAUAUCGGGAGGAACACCAGUGGCGAAGGCGGCGAUCUGGGAAGAUACUGACGCUGAGGUGCGAAAGCGUGGGGAGCAAACAGG
rnacentral:rRNA from 1 species